rnacentral:rRNA from 1 species
GAUGAACGCUGGCGGCGUGCCUAACACAUGCAAGUCGAACGAAGCGCUUAAGUGAAUCCCUUCGGGGUGAAGCUUUAGUGACUGAGUGGCGGACGGGUGAGUAACGCGUGGGCAACCUGCCCUAUACCGGGGGACAACAGCUGGAAACGGCUACUAAUACCGCAUAAGCGCACAGAGUCGCAUGGCUCGGUGUGAAAAACUCCGGUGGUAUAGGAUGGACCCGCGUCCGAUUAGCUAGUUGGUAGUGUAAUGGACAACCAAGGCGACGAUGCGUAGCCGACCUGAGAGGGUGACCGGCCACACUGGGACUGAGACACGGCCCAGACUCCUACGGGAGGCAGCAGUAGGGAAUUUUCGGCAAUGGGGGGAACCCUGACCGAGCAACGCCGCGUGAAGGAAGAAGGUUUUCGGAUUGUAAACUUCUGUUAUAAAGGAAGAACGGUACAUGGAGGGAAUGCCAUGUAAGUGACGGUACUUUAUGAGAAAGCCACGGCUAACUACGUGCCAGCAGCCGCGGUAAAAC